GUAGGGAAUAUUGGGCAAUGGAAGCAAUUCUGACCCAGCCAUGCCGCGUGAAGGAAUACAGCCCUAUGGGUUUUAAACUUCUUUUAUUAUAGAGUAAACGGAGGUACGUGUACCUCCCUGCAAGUAUAUGAUGAAUAAGGAUCGGCUAACUCCGUGCCAGCAGCCGCGGUAAUACGGAGGAUCCAAGCGUUAUCCGGAUUUAUUGGGUUUAAAGGGUGCGCAGGCGGAUCAAUAAGUCAGGGGUGAAAAAUUUCAGCUUAACUGGAAUCGUGCCUUUGAUACUGUUGGACUAGAGUAUAAUUGACGUGACUGGAAUGUGAUGUGUAGCGGUGAAAUGCUUAGAUAUGUCACAGAACGCCAAUCGUGAAGACAGGUCACGAAAUUAUUACUGACGCUCAUGCACGAAAGCGUGGGGAUCAAACAGGAUUAGAAACCCUUGUAGUCC
rnacentral:rRNA from 1 species